GCCGUCGUAGCACAAUGGUAGUGCGUUGCCUUCCUAAGGCAAAGGUUGCGGGUUCGAUCCCCGUCGUCGGUA
rfam:Suillus luteus TH-Slu-Lm8-n1 unplaced genomic scaffold CY34scaffold_33, whole genome shotgun sequence.